AUUGAACGCUGGCGGCAGGCCUAACACAUGCAAGUCGAACGGUAACAGGAAGCAGCUUGCUGCUUCGCUGACGAGUGGCGGACGGGUGAGUAAUGUCUGGGAAACUGCCUGAUGGAGGGGGAGAACUACUGGAAACGGUAGCUAAUACCGCAUAACGUCGCAAGACCAAAGAGGGGGACUUUAGGGCCUCUUGCCAUCGGAUGUGCCCAGAUGUGAUUAGCUAGUAGGUGGGGUAACGGCUCACCUAGGCGACGAUCCCUAGCUGGUAUGAGAGGGUGACCAGCCACAUUGGAACGGAGGCACGGUCCAGACUCCUACGGGGGGCAGCAGUGGGGAAUAUUGCGCAAGGGGGGAAAGCGGAAUGUAGCAAUGCCGCGUGUAGGAAGAAGGACUUCGGGUUGUAGAGUACUGUCAGCGGGGAGGAAGGGAGUAAAGUUAAUACCUUUUCUCAUUGACGUUACCCGCAGAAGAAGCACCGGCUAACUCCGUG
rnacentral:rRNA from 1 species